rnacentral:rRNA from 1 species
GACGAACCGUGCAAACGUUAUUCGGAAUCACUGGGCUUAAAGCGCGUGUAGGCGGGCCGGCACGUCGGUUGCUGAAAGCCCCCGGCUUAACCGGGGAAGCGGCGCCGAUACGACCGGCCUGGAGAGGGGUAGGGGGGCCUGGAACUGCCGGUGGAGCGGUGAAAUGCGUUGAGAUCGGCAGGAACGCCCGCGGCGAAAGCGAGGCCCUGGACCCUUACUGACGCUGAGACGCGAAAGCCAGGGGAGCGAACGGG